GAACAAUAGUCUGCCGGAGAAGGGCACGGCUGAUUUGGCAGUUACCAUUUCACUGAGAGUGCUGCUUUCAUGUUCUUUGCUCUCUUUGUACAAGAGGCUGAUAUGAGCACUGGGGCCAGCUGCCUCUCUCAGGGCCCCUACUCCACCACCCAGACUGCCUCUGGAGGACCCUUCAGAGCCAGCAGAUGAAGCUUCCUAUCUUCCCUGAGGUGUAAAAUGGAUGUUUUUAAGAUCUACUCCUGUCUAAUGAUGGGUUUCAUAGCAUCACAAGUGUCCCUCUUCUACUGUGGCAGCAAUUAAACUUCACACCAGCUCUGUGAGGGCACAGCUAUAGAAAGCCCGCCUCAGAUUUUAUCUCAUGUGCACUCACCCACCUCAGACAGACACCACUUAUUUCCUGUCAGCUUGGACCACCACUCACCUAUUGGCCAUUGGCAUUCUUUUCCGGUACUGCUCCUCACUCGCCGCCUGCCCACCCACCAUUGGCCUCCUCUCGGACCAAGGUCUCUCCUACUACCUCCUCCUCUGCCCGACUAGCUUGGAUUCCAAGGAUCUCAUCACUACUUUGUGUACACGCUACCUGACACAUUCUCCCUGGACACUCUACCCCGUCUAACUGCCCUCACCUCUUUUGCAGAUUUGCCCAACCCCUUGCUGCCUGUUUCUGCUCCUCUGACCAGUCUCUUAGCCCAGUUCGGAAGAUUCUUGUGUUAAGAUUUUCCCUUUUGCCAAGACUCAUGUCUAUGCUUUCACUCACUUUAAUUACCAGUGCUUGCUGUAGGUUAUGUCGUGUAAAUACUUUCCUGAUUGA